AAAGGGCAUUAUCAGAAAAAAUAAAAGAUCUAACAGGGGUACAUUUUGAACUUCUCCCGGAGCACGGGAGCCAUUGUAUUAGCCAAGCAGUCAAAAUUACAAAAGAAAUGCGCUGGAUUACAGAAAACCCAUAGAAAUGCCCCAUAUUUACAUCACUAAACCCUAACCACCACCACCAUAGAACAACCACCACGACACAAUGACGACACCAACAACUAACGAUCUCAGAUCUUCUACUACAAUGUCUCACCGGAACACCUCUCCGCAACCGCUCCCGUUAGUCGUUACUCUUAACUGCAUCGACGAUUGCGCCGUCGAGCAGGACUUCUUAUCCGGCGUCGCCGUCGUCGAACACGUUCCUCUCAGCCGUUUAGCCGAUGGAAAAAUUGAAUCAGCUGCUGCUGUUCUUCUUCACUCUCUUGUUUACCUGCCUCGAGCCGCGCAGCGCCGGCUCCGUCCUUAUCAGCUCAUUUUAUGCCUCGGCUCAGCUGACCGUGCUGUCGACUCUGCUCUCGCUGCCGACUUAGGUCUCCGGCUUGUACACGUGGAUACCUCGCGUGCUGAGGAGAUCGCGGACACUGUGAUGGCUCUGUUUCUUGGAUUGUUACGGAGAACGCACUUGUUAUCUAGACAUACGCUAUCGGCUUCGGGUUGGCUUGGCUCAGUGCAGCCGCUGUGUAGAGGAAUGAGGAGGUGUAGAGGCUUGGUUUUGGGGAUUGUUGGUAGAUCUGCAUCGGCUCGGUCAUUGGCUACUAGAAGCUUGGCUUUCAAGAUGAGUGUGCUUUAUUUUGAUGUACACGAGAGAAAAGGGAAAGUAAGCGGAACUCCCCUAAGAUUUCCACCUGCAGCCCGGAGGAUGGAUACUCUUAAUGAUUUAUUAGCUGCCAGUGACCUAAUUUCACUUCACUGUGCUUUAACAAACGAAACAGUUCAGAUUUUAAAUGCAGAGUGUUUGCAGCAUAUAAAACCAGGGGCCUUUCUUGUGAAUACGGGUAGUAGUCAGCUAUUGGAUGAUUGUGCCUUGAAGCAGCUUCUGAUAGAUGAGACUUUAGCUGGCUGUGCUUUGGAUGGUGCUGAAGGACCACAAUGGAUGGAAGCAUGGGUAAAAGAAAUGCCCAACGUAUUGAUACUUCCACGCAGUGCAGAUUACAGUGAAGAAGUGUGGAUGGAAGUAAGGGAUAAGGCCAUCUCUUUAUUGCAAUCCUUCUUCUUUGAUGGGGUUAUACCAAAGGAUGCCAUCUCUGAUGAGGAAGGAAGUGAAAUAGGUGAUGAAAAUGAACAGUUUCACUUACAAGGCAAGGAAAGUUCUCUGCCGACUUCUGUUGGUGAGCAUUUGACAGAUGAUAUUCAUGCAACUCCAGAAAGCUCCAGCAAAAAAGGUAUUAAUCAGCCAACAGAAUCUUCUAGCCAGGCUCAGGGUUCUGGCUUGUCUCAAACUACUUCUGCAAGGUCUGAAGGAAGACGGAGCAGUAGAUCAGGUAAGAAGGCAAAGAAAAGACAUGGCCGUCAAAAGUCUAUGCAGAAACCCGACGAUCCUUCUCAACUAGAAAAACAAAGCACGUCACAUCGAGAAGAUGAGGCUACAAUGAGUGGUACAGAUCAAGUGUUGAGUUCCAGUUCCCGAUUUGCAUCUCCUGAAGAUUCAAGAAGUAGGAAAACACCGACUGAGUCAAUGCAAGAGUCGACUUCUGACCAAUUUAUGAGCUCAAGCAAGAAGCUAAGUGGAAAGUCUGUUGAGCUGCUGAAAGAUGGUUAUGUUAUUGCUUUACAUACAAGAGAUCGCCUUGCACUUCAUGUCUCAAGACAGAGAGUAAAAGGUGGUGGAUGGCUCCUGGAUGCCAUGUCAGAUGUAACAAAAAGAGAUCCUGCAGCUCAAUUCCUUGUCGUUUUUAGAAGCAAGGACACUAUUGGAUUGCGUUCUUUUGCUGCUGGUGGAAAGUUAUUGCAGAUUAAUAGAAGAAUGGAAUUUGUUUUUGCUAGUCACAGCUUUGAUGUGUGGGAGAGUUGGAUGUUGGAAGGUUCAUUGGAGGAAUGCAGGCUAGUUAACUGUCGAAAUCCUUUGGCUAUUUUGGAUGUACGCAUUGAAAUUCUGGCUGCUGUAGGGGAAAAUGACGGAGUCACGCGGUGGCUAGAUUAGAUUGUGAAAGCAAGAGUGAAGAUAGCUAACUAUUUCCUGCCAUUUUUGUUAUUCCUCUAAGGUAAAGUUAUCUCGAAACCGUUUAUUCUCGUGUAUUUCUCCUGCAUGUUGAAGGUUUGUGGCUGAUGUACAUUGCUAAUUCGGGUUACAGUAUAGGAACGCGUGAUCCCUCAACCUUUACAUAAUGGGAAAUUUUGGGUUUGAAAUUGAAGAAUAAAAUCGCAUGAGGCAGCACGACACCACACUAGGCACCGUUGAGGCUAUUUGACAAAUUCUGCUUUGCUCGUCCUUGUAGUCAGUUUUAAGUAUACUUUAUUUUGAUAUUGUCAAAUAUGUGAACUUUGAAUUGUGCCUAUGCGCACCUAGAAUUGGCAUGUUUGGGUAGAUCCGUGGAAAGCUAGUAGACAAUGCCGAAAGAUCCAUAAAAGCCAUUGCACAUGCUCAUGUGGUAAAUCAUUUUGCAGACCAACAAAUGCCAAACUCAUUUUCUAUGGCACGUUCAUCAAUCUAAAACCUAAUGCAGCAGAAAGCUUUAUAAAUGCAGUCAUGUGAAAAUUGUGUUUCCUAUUACAGCAAAUAAAUAAAGGUUCCAAUCUGAAACUCCAAUAUA